GUGGGGAAUAUUCCGCAAUGGACGAAAGUCUGACGGAGCAACGCCGCGUGAGUGAUGAAGGUUUUCGGACUGUAAAGCUCUGUUGUUUAGGACGAAAGUGCCUGUUGCAAAUAGUUACAGGUAUUGACGGUACUGAACGAGGAAGCCACGGCUAACUACGUGCCAGCAGCCGCGGUAAUACGUAGGUGGCAAGCGUUGUCCGGAAUUAUUGGGCGUAAAGAGCAUGUAGGCGGGGAUCUAAGUCUGUUGUGAAAAUGCGGGGCUCAACCCCGUAUUGCGAUGGAAACUGGGUUUCUUGAGUGCAGGAGAGGAAAGGGGAAUUCCCAGUGUAGCGGUGAAAUGCGUAGAUAUUGGGAGGAACACCAGUGGCGAAGGCGCCUUUCUGGACUGUGUCUGACGCUGAGAUGCGAAAGCCAGGGUAGCGAACGGGAUUAGAUACCCUAGUAGUCC
rnacentral:rRNA from 1 species